CUUUUCUUCAAAAUGAAAUUGACUGUAAUUGGUCAACUAUAUUUAGAAUUCUUAGUUAUAUAUCAGACUAAGUUGAGAUGAGAAAUAUUUCUUCAAGAGAAGUUUUAGGUAGCAGUAAAGGUUCUAAAGCAUUUAAGAAAAGUACAGGAGAAGGAGCCAUUUACUUGUUCAAUAUGUGUCUACAGCAGCUGUUUGAAGUAAAAGUUUUCAAGGAGAAACACCAUUCUUGGUUUAUAAAUCAGUCAGUUCAAUCAGGAGGUCUUCUCCAUUUUGCCACACCUGUGGAUCCUCUAUUUCUCCUUCUCCACUACCUCAUAAAGGCUGAUAAGGAGGGGAAGUUUCAGCCCCUUGAUCAAGUUGUGGUGGAUAACGUGUUUCCAAAUUGCAUCUUGUUGCUGAAACUUCCUGGACUUGAGAAGUUACUUCACCAUGUGACAGAGGAAAAAGGUAAUCCAGAAAUAGACAACAAGAAAUAUUACAAGUACAGCAAAGAGAAGACAUUAAAGUGGCUGGAAAAAAAGGUUAAUCAAACUGUGGCAGCAUUAAAAACCAAUAAUGUGAAUGUCAGUUCCCGGGUACAGUCAACUGCAUUUUUCUCUGGUGACCAAGUUUCCACUGACAAGGAAGAGGAUUAUAUUCGUUAUGCCCAUGGUCUGAUAUCUGAUUACAUCCCUAAAGAAUUAAGUGAUGACUUAUCUAAAUACUUAAAGCUUCCAGAACCUUCAGCCUCAUUGCCAAAUCCUCCAUCAAAGAAAAUAAAGUUAUCAGAUGAGCCUGUAGAAGCAAAAGAAGAUUACACUAAGUUUAAUACUAAAGAUUUGAAGACUGAAAAGAAAAAUAGCAAAAUGACUGCAGCUCAGAAGGCUUUGGCUAAAGUUGACAAGAGUGGAAUGAAAAGUAUUGAUACCUUUUUUGGUGUAAAAAAUAAAAAAAAAAUUGGAAAGGUUUGAAACUUUGAAAAUAAAAUCUAG
rnacentral:sRNA from 1 species